rnacentral:rRNA from 1 species
AGAAUUUAGCAGAGAUGCUUUAGUGCCUUCGGGAACUCUGAGACAGGUGCUGCAUGGCUGUCGUCAGCUCGUGUUGUGAAAUGUUGGGUUAAGUCCCGCAACGAGCGCAACCCUUAUCCUUUGUGCCAGCACGUAAUGGUGGGAACUCAAAGGAGACUGCCGGUGAUAAACCGGAGGAAGGUGGGGAUGACGUCAAGUCAUCAUGGCCCUUACGAGUAGGGCUACACACGUGCUACAAUGGCGCAUACAAAGAGAAGCGACCUCGCGAGAGCAAGCGGACCUCAUAAAGUGCGUCGUAGUCCGGAUUGGAGUCUGCAACUCGACUCCAUGAAGUCGGAAUCGCUAGUAAUCGUAAAUCAGAAUGUUACGGUGAAUACGUUCCCGGGCCUUGUACACACCGCCCGUCACACCAUGGGAGUGGGUUGCAAAAGAAGUAGAUAGCUUAACCUUCGGGAGGGCGUUUACCACUUUGUGAUUCAUGACUGGGGUGAAGUCGUAACAAGGUAAGCGUAGUGCU